AAAAGGCACCACGGCAGAACGGCACCAAAAUCGUGCGGCGAAAACGGCACCGUAUUGGCGAAAACGGCCACUGAUUUCGGAGCUACAACGGCACCAUAUACAAAACACAGUAUGAUGUUGACUUUUAUGUUUUAGUUCGUUUAAUUAUAACAUUAGAAUCAACAUAUAAAAAACACAGUAUGACGUUGACUUAUGGUUUUUAUUUCAGCAAGAUUAUAACACGCGAUAUAGCUGGAAUAUUGCUAAAAGCGGCGUAAAAUCAUAACUCACUCAAUCAACCAUUACAUUAAAAUAACAAGAUUAUAAUAAAGACGAUAACAAACCGUCAACAUUACACAUGUUCACACGUCCAUAUUUGGCCGGAUGCUUAUUUGGCCGAAUGUCUUCAUGAA